rnacentral:rRNA from 1 species
AUUCCAGCUCCAAUAGCGUAUAUUAAAGUUGUUGCAGUUAAAAAGCUCGUAGUUGGACUUCUGGCAGGGCGCCGCGUGCCACAGUAGUGCGCACAAGGGCCCGGCCAUCCUUCUGUAAACGUCGGGGAAGUUUAUUCGUCCGCGGCGGGAUCAGUUAAUUUACCUUGAGAAAAUUAGAGUGUUUCAGGCAGGCGUAGCCGGAAUACAUUAGCAUGGAAUAAUGGAAUAGGACUUAGUCUCUUUGUUGGUUCGAGGGACUGGAGUAAUGAUUAAUAGGGAUAGUUGGGGGCAUUAGUAUUUAUUAGCUAGAGGUGGAAUUCUCUAAUUUGAUAAAGACUAACUUAUGCGAAAGCAUUUGCCUAGGAUGUUUUCAUUG